rnacentral:rRNA from 1 species
UACGUAGGUGGCAAGCGUUGUCCGGAUUUAUUGGGUUUAAAGGGUGCGUAGGCGGCUUAAUAAGUCAGUGGUGAAAGCCGAUCGCUUAACGAUCGAACUGCCAUUGAUACUGCUAGGCUUGAGUAUAGUUGAGGUAGGCGGAAUUGACAGUGUAGCGGUGAAAUGCAUAGAUAUUGUCAAGAACACCAAUUGCGAAGGCAGCUUACUAAAGUAUAACUGACGCUGAGGCAACGAAGUGCGGGGAGUCAAACAGG